rnacentral:lncRNA from 1 species
CCGGCCCCUUUCCAGCCCCUUCCCUGCCUUCCUCCUUUUCUCAGUCAUUCCAGGACCCAGGCAGAAAGUCACACAGAACACUGUGUGUCUGUCAGCAGAUUCCUGGAAGGUCACGCUGAAUGAUGAAUGCUCCCGGGUCAAGUUCAAGAUUCCAGGCUCUGGAAUGUCUUCUUGGAUGACAUCAGCCAUGGUGAGUUUUCUGUCAUCUGAGCUUAGUCCUACCUGUUAUCUUUUUUUUUUUUUUUCAGGCACAAUUAUGUUAUUCAACUUCAUAUUUGCCUUCUCCUGAACCAGGUUCCAGUGAGUUCUGCCAACUUCAGGUCUUUCAAGACUUUCCAGUCAAAUCCUUCUGCAUCUCACAAAUGCAUAAAAAUAGAGCCACUGAAGCAAG